rnacentral:pre_miRNA from 1 species
AAAUUACUUCCUCCGUUCGGAAUUACUUGUCUCGAAAAUGGAUGUAUCUAGAACUAAAAUACGUCUAGAUACAUCCAUUUCUAUGACAAGUAAUUCCGAACGGAUGGAGUACAUU